UUCCUCCAGACUUUGGAGACUCUUGGUGAGUAAAAUUCUUAUUUUCAUGGCAAUAUAGUUAUUUACAUAAGUUCAAUAAGAAUCUUUUCUCCUUAUAGUAGGACACAAUGGGAAACAUUGGUUAUAUUACCAAAGCUUCGACUGGAAUGUCAUAUUAGAGAGAAACAUGCAGACUCAGAUAUGACCAGACAGCUAAGAAACAAAGAUUGACUUUAUCAAAUAAAGCAAUUUGGAAUUUGGCCUGGUACCUUUCUUACAGGAUUCCAAGCAACCUUACUGGUGUUUUCAAUGAGAUCAUCGAACACCAAAACCUGAGUCUUUAAUCCCACUGCCAGAAAGAAAUAAAAUACAAAGAAACCUUCCAUGGAAAACAUGUAAUAACAUGAAAGUUUGCUCUUACCAGCAAAAGCCAAAAUAUGAAAAUCCAGACUGCAAAACUGCUAAACUGUGGUUGAAAUCUUUUAAAUAAG
rnacentral:lncRNA from 1 species